AGCGGCGAACGGGUGAGUAACACGUAGGUGAUCUGCCCAUCAGACGGGGACAACGAUUGGAAACGAUCGCUAAUACCGGAUAGGACGAAAGUUUAAAGGUGCUUCUGGCACCGCUGAUGGAUGAGCCUGCGGCGCAUUAGCUAGUUGGUAGGGUAAAGGCCUACCAAGGCGACGAUGCGUAGCCGACCUGAGAGGGUGAACGGCCACACUGGGACUGAGACACGGCCCAGACUCCUACGGGAGGCAGCAGUAGGGAAUCUUCGGCAAUGGGCGAAAGCCUGACCGAGCAACGCCGCGUGAAUGAUGAAGGCCUUCGGGUUGUAAAAUUCUGUUAUAAGGGAAGAACGACUUUAGUAGGAAAUGGCUAGAGUGUGACGGUACCUUAUGAGAAAGCCACGGCUAACUACGUGCCAGCAGCCGCGGUAAUACGUAGGUGGCGAGCGUUAUCCGGAAUUAUUGGGCGUAAAGAGCGCGCAGGUGGUCGAUUAAGUCUGAUGUGAAAGCCCACGGCUUAACCGUGGAGGGUCAUUGGAAACUGGUCGACUUGAGUGCAGAAGAGGGAAGUGGAAUUCCAUGUGUAGCGGUGAAAUGCGUAGAGAUAUGGAGGAACACCAGUGGCGAAGGCGGCUUCCUGGUCUGUAACUGACACUGAGGCGCGAAAGCGUGGGGAGCAAACAGGAUUAGAUACUCUGGUAGUCCACGCCGUAAACGAUGAGUGCUAAGUGU
rnacentral:rRNA from 1 species